rnacentral:rRNA from 1 species
UACGUAGGGUGCGAGCGUUAAUCGGAAUUACUGGGCGUAAAGCGUGCGCAGGCGGCUUUGCAAGACAGAUGUGAAAUCCCCGGGCUCAACCUGGGAACUGCAUUUGUGACUGCAUGGCUAGAGUACGGUAGAGGGGGAUGGAAUUCCGCGUGUAGCAGUGAAAUGCGUAGAUAUGCGGAGGAACACCGAUGGCGAGGGCAAUCCCCUGGACCUGUACUGACGCUCAUGCACGAAAGCGUGGGGAGCAAACAGG